rnacentral:rRNA from 1 species
GAUGAACGCUGGCGGCGUGCCUAAUACAUGCAAGUCGAGCGAACAGAUGAGGAGCUUGCUCCUCUGACGUUAGCGGCUGACGGGUGAGUAACACGUGGAUAACCUACCUAUAAGACUGGGAUAACUUCGGGAAACCGGAGCUAAUACCGGAUAAUAUAUUGAACCGCAUGGUUCAAUAGUGAAAGACGGUUUUGCUGUCUCUUAUAGAUGGUUCCGCGCCGCAUUAGCUAGUUGGUAAGGUAACGGCUUACCAAGGCAACGAUGCGUAGCCGACCUGAGAGGGUGAUAGGCCAAACUGGAACUGAGACACGGACCAGACUACUACGGGAGGCAGCAGUAGGGAAUGUUCCGCAAUGGGCGAAAGCAUGACGGAGCAAAGCCGCGUGAGUGAUGAAGGUCUUCGGAUAGUAAAACUCUGUUAUUAGGGAAGAAAAAAUGUGUAAGUAACUAUGCACGUCUUGACGGUAACUAAUCAGAAAGCAACGGCUAACUACGUG